rnacentral:rRNA from 1 species
CAGUAGCCGCGGUAAUACGUAGGGUGCGAGCGUUAAUCGGAAUUACUGGGCGUAAAGCGUGCGCAGGCGGUUCGUUAAGACAGAUGUGAAAUCCCCGGGCUUAACCUGGGAACUGCAUUUGUGACUGGCGAGCUAGAGUAUGGCAGAGGGGGGUAGAAUUCCACGUGUAGCAGUGAAAUGCGUAGAGAUGUGGAGGAAUACCGAUGGCGAAGGCAGCCCCCUGGGCCAAUACUGACGCUCAUGCACGAAGGCGUGGGGAGCAAACAGGAUUAGAUACCCCGGUAGUCCCUGUCUCUUAUAC